rnacentral:rRNA from 1 species
AGAUUGAACGCUGGCGGCAUGCCUAACACAUGCAAGUCGAACGGGAGUAGCAAUACUCUAGUGGCGGACGGGUGAGGAAUACGUAGGAAUUUGCCCUUAAGUGGGGGAUAACCCGGGGAAACCCGGAUUAAUACCGCAUGACCUCGAAAGAGCAAAGUGGGGGAUCGCAAGACCUCACGCUUUUGGAGAAGCCUACGUCGGAUUAGCUAGUUGGUGAGGUAAUGGCUCACCAAGGCGACGAUCCGUAACUGGUCUGAGAGGAUGAUCAGUCACACCGGAACUGAGACACGGUCCGACUCCUACGGGAGGCAGCAGUGGGGAAUAGUUGGACAA